GGCUUCGGAACUCAGCCGGUAGAGCGCUUGCCGCGAUAAGGCAUGGUAUUUUGUUGCUGGUUCGAAUCCAGCAGAAGCCC